rnacentral:rRNA from 1 species
AACGCGAAGAACCUUACCUGGGCUCGAAGCGUAGUGGACUGAGGUAGAAAUAUCUUUUCCCCGCAAGGGGCUGCUACGUAGGUGCUGCAUGGCUGUCGUCAGCUCGUGUCGUGAGAUGUUGGGUUAAGUCCCGCAACGAGCGCAACCCUUAUUGCCAGUUGCCAUCAUUUAGUUGGGCACUCUGGCGAAACCGCCCCGGAUAACGGGGAGGAAGGUGGGGAUGACGUCAAGUCCUCAUGGCCUUUAUGUCCAGGGCUACACACGUGCUACAAUGGUUGGUACAAACCGUCGCAAACCCGCGAGGGGGAGCUAAUCGGAAAAAGCCGGCCUCAGUUCGGAUUGGAGUCUGCAACCCGACUCCAUGAAGCUGGAAUCGCUAGUAAUCGCGGAUCAGAACGCCGCGGUGAAUACGUUCCCGGGCCUUGUACACACCGCGCAUA